rnacentral:rRNA from 1 species
GACGAACGCUGGCGGCGUGCUUAACACAUGCAAGUCGAACGAUGAAGAAGAGAAACGCGAACUUCGGUUCAAAUUUCACUUCGGAUUAGUGGCAGACGGGUGAGUAACGCGUGAGCAACCUACCCCUUACAAAGGGAUAGCCUCGGGAAACCGUGAUUAAUACCAUAUGACACAUUCAUAAGGCAUCUUAAGAAUGUUAAAGCUACGGCGGUAAGAGAUGGGCUCGCGUCCCAUUAGCUAGUUGGUGAGGUAACGGCCCACCAAGGCGACGAUGGGUAACCGGCCUGAGAGGGUGAACGGUCACAUUGGAACUGAGACACGGUCCAAACUCCUACGGGAGGCAGCAGUGGGGAAUAUUGCACAAUGGAGGGAACUCUGAUGCAGCGACGCCGCGCGAGCGAUGAAGGAAUUCGUUUCGUAAAGCUCUGUUCUAUGGGAAGAAAAGGACUGUACCAUAGGAGAAAGCCCCGGCUAAAUACGUG